AUUCAGCAUCCUCAACACUUCUCACGAUAUCAAGUAAAUCGUUUUGUCACCUGAUUGUGGAAAAAACUGAAUUUUGACAAGAGCUAAGCGAAAAACCAAGUAUCCACCUUGGAAAAGAGCUUUAGUACAAGCAAUAUUCAGACAUGUGAAAAAAGCAAGUGGCAUCUACGUGGAAUUAACGGAUUCA